ACUCUGUUUUUAUACUUUUUCUACGUUCUUUUACGUUCAGAAUUCAUGUGUUCAGAAUUGUUUUGUAACAUUUUUAAUCAGUUUCUUCUUGUCUUCCAUUUCUUUUCUACAGAGAGCAGAGGACUGGAGACAGUGUGAAGUUUGAACACUCAUUUUAAAUUCAGAUACAGUAUACUUAUGAUAUGGUCAUAUUUCAUCUGAUGACAUAUUGCUCAUCUGUUCAUCUGGUUUUUCAUACUUUGAACAUUGAUCUCCAUCGUCUGAUUGCUCUUUCUUUGUUGUUUUUUUCUUUUUCUUUUUCAGAAAAAUGAGAGGAGAAAAAUGAGAGGAGAGAGCAGAGGACUGGAGACAGUGUGAAGUUUGAACACUCAUUUUAAAUUCAGAUACAGUAUACUUAUGAUAUGGUCAUAUUUCAUCUGAUGACAUAUUGCUCAUCUGUUCAUCUGGUUUUUCAUACUUUGAACACUGAUUUAUAUCAUCUGACUACUCUUAUUUUGUUGUUUUUUUCUUUUCUUUUUCAGAAAAAUGAGAGGAGGUAGGAAUCUGAGAGGCAACAUGAACUUUGAACUCUGUUUUUAUACUUUUUCUACGUUCUUUUACGUUCAGAAUGCAUGUGUUCAGAAAUAUUUCAACUGCUUAUUUUGUAACAUUUUUAAGUUUGAACACUGAUCUAUAUCGUCUGACUACUGUUUAUUUGUUGUUUUUCCUUUUUUUUCAGAAAAAUGAGAGGAG